rnacentral:rRNA from 1 species
GACGAACGCUGGCGGCGUGCUUAACACAUGCAAGUCGAACGGAAAGGCCCUGCUUGCAGGGUACUCGAGUGGCGAACGGGUGAGUAACACGUGGGUGAUCUGCCCUGCACUUCGGGAUAAGCCUGGGAAACUGGGGCUAAUACCGGAUAGGAGCCAUUUUGCUUGUGAUGGUUGGAAAGUUUUUUGGGUGUAGGAUGAGCUCGCGGCCUAUCAGCUUGUUGGUGGGGUGAUGGGCUACCAAGGCGGCGACGGGUAGCCGGCCUGGGAGGGUGGACGGCCACAUUGGGACCGAGAUACGGCCCAGGCUCCUACGGGAGGCAGCAGUGGGGAAUAUUGCACAAUGGGCGCAAGCCUGGUGCAGCGACGCCGCGUGGGGGAAGACGGCCUUCGGGUUGUAAAAUCCUUUCGCUAGGGACGAAGCUUUUUGUGACGGUACCUAGAUAAGAAGCACCGGCUAACUACGUG